rnacentral:rRNA from 1 species
CGGCGCACGGGUGCGUAACGCGUAUAGAACCUACCUUUUACAGAGGAAUAGCCUUUAGAAAUGAAGAUUAAUGCCUCAUAGUAUUGUAGACUGGCAUCAGUUUAUAAUUAAAGAUUUAUCGGUAAAAGAUGGCUAUGCGUCCUAUUAGUUAGUUGGUAAGGUAACGGCUUACCAAGACAGCGAUAGGUAGGGGUCCUGAGAGGGAGAUCCCCCACACUGGUACUGAGACACGGACCAGACUCCUACGGGAGGCAGCAGUGAGGAAUAUUGGACAAUGGAGGAGACUCUGAUCCAGCCAUGCCGCGUGUAGGAAGAAUGCCCUAUGGGUUGUAAACUACUUUUAUACAGGAAGAAACACUGGUAUGUAUACCAGCUUGACGGUACUGUAAGAAUAAGGACCGG